UACGUAGGCAGCAAGCGUUGUUCGGAAUUACUGGGCGUAAAGCGUGCGCAGGCGGUUUUGUAAGCCAGAUGUGAAAUCCCCGGGCUCAACCUGGGAAUGGCAUUUGGGACUGCAAGGCUUGAGUGCGGCAGAGGAGACUGGAAUUCCUGGUGUAGCAGUGAAAUGCGUAGAUAUCAGGAGGAAUACCGAUGGCGAAGGCAGGUCUCUGGGCUGACACUGACGCUCAUGCACGAAAGCGUGGGGAGCAAACAGG
rnacentral:rRNA from 1 species